AGCCAGGUGGGGCAUUGGUAACAUGCUGAACUCGCGUUCGAGAUGUCCCGAGUUCGAUUUCCGGCGCAGCCA